GAAUCUUCCGCAAUGGACGAAAGUCUGACGGAGCAACGCCGCGUGAGUGAUGAAGGCUUUCGGGUCGUAAAACUCUGUUGUUAGGGAAGAACAAGUGCUAGUUGAAUAAGCUGGCACCUUGACGGUACCUAACCAGAAAGCCACGGCUAACUACGUGCCAGCAGCCGCGGUAAUACGUAGGUGGCAAGCGUUAUCCGGAAUUUAUUGGGCGUAAAGCGCGCGCAGGUGGUUUCUUAAGUCUGAUGUGAAAGCCCACGGCUCAACCGUGGAGGGUCAUUGGAAACUGGGAGACUUGAGUGCAGAAGAGGAAAGUGGAAUUCCAUGUGUAGCGGUGAAAUGGUAGAGAAUAUGGAGGAACACCAGUGGCGAAGGCGACUUUCUGUAACUGACACUGAGGCGCAAGAAAGCGUGGGGAGCAAACAGGAUUAGAUA
rnacentral:rRNA from 1 species